rnacentral:rRNA from 1 species
ACGCACGCUGGCGGCGUGCUUAACACAUGCAAGUCGAACGGAAAGGCCCUGCUUUUGUGGGGUGCUCGAGUGGCGAACGGGUGAGUAACACGUGAGUAACCUGCCCUUGACUUUGGGAUAACUUCAGGAAACUGGGGCUAAUACCGGAUAGGAGCUCCUGCUGCAUGGUGGGGGUUGGAAAGUUUCGGCGGUUGGGGAUGGGCUCGCGGCUUAUCAGCUUGUUGGUGGGGUAGUGGCUUACCAAGGCUUUGACGGGUAGCCGGCCUGAGAGGGUGACCGGCCACAUUGGGACUGAGAUACGGCCCAGACUCCUACGGGAGGCAGCAGUGGGGAAUAUUGCACAAUGGGCGGGAGCCUGAUGCAGCAACGCCGCGUGCGGGAUGACGGCCUUCGGGUUGUAAACCGCUUUCGCCUGUGACGAAGCGUGAGUGACGGUAAUGGGUAAAGAAGCACCGGCUAACUACGUG